AUGAACGCUGGCGGCGUGCCUCAUACAUGCAAGUCGAGCGAACAGAUGAGGAGCUUGCUCCUCUGACGUUAGCGGCGGACGGGUGAGUAACACGUGGAUAACCUACCUAUAAGACUGGGAUAACUUCGGGAAACCGGAGCUAAUACCGGAUAAUAUAUUGAACCGCAUGGUUCAAUAGUGAAAGACGGUUUUGCUGUCACUUAUAGAUGGAUCCGCGCCGCAUUAGCUAGUUGGUAAGGUAACGGCUUACCAAGGCAACGAUGCGUAGCCGACCUGAGAGGGCGAUCGGCCACACUGGAACUGAGACACGGUCCAGACUCCUACGGGAGGCAGCAGUAGGGAAUCUUCCGCAAUGGGCGAAAGCCUGACGGAGCAACGCCGCGUGAGUGAUGAAGGUCUUCGGAUCGUAAAACUCUGUUAUUAGGGAAGAACAAAUGUGUAAGUAACUACGCACGUCUUGACGGUACCUAAUCAGAAAGCCACGGCUAACUACGUG
rnacentral:rRNA from 1 species